rnacentral:rRNA from 1 species
ACUCCUACGGGAGGCAGCAGUGGGGAAUAUUGCACAAUGGGCGCAAGCCUGAUGCAGCCAUGCCGCGUGUAUGAAGAAGGCCUUCGGGUUGUAAAGUACUUUCAGCAGUGAGGAAGGCGGGUACGUUAAUAGCGUGCUCGUUUGACGUUAGCUGCAGAAGAAGCACCGGCUAACUCCGUGCCAGCAGCCGCGGUAAUACGGAGGGUGCGAGCGUUAAUCGGAAUUACUGGGCGUAAAGCGCAUGCAGGUGGUUUGUUAAGUCAGAUGUGAAAGCCCGGGGCUCAACCUCGGAAUUGCAUUUGAAACUGGCAGACUAGAGUACUGUAGAGGGGGGUAGAAUUUC